CCGCGUGGGGGAUGAAGGUUUGUGGAUUGUAAACCCCUUUUGAUUGGGAAGAAUAACUGACGGUACCAAUCGAAUAAGCCUCGGCUAACUCCGUGCCAGCAGCCGCGGUAAUACGGAGGAGGCAAGCGUUAUCCGGAAUUAUUGGGCGUAAAGCGUCCGUAGGUGGUUUAGUAAGUCUGCUGUCAAAGCGCGGGGCUUAACUCCGUAACGGCAGUGGAAACUACUAGACUAGAGUGUGGUAGGGGUAGAGGGAAUUCCCAGUGUAGCGGUGAAAUGCGUAGAUAUUGGGAAGAACACCGGUGGCGAAAGCGCUCUACUGGGCCAUAACUGACACUGAUGGACGAAAGCUAGGGGAGCGAAAGGGAUUAGAUACCCCUGUA
rnacentral:rRNA from 1 species